AGGACCACGGACUUCCGUUUCGUUCCGCCUGUAAGUCCCGCCUGGUCCCGCCUCCUCCUGAAAAGAGCUCAGUUGUCAAGGAACUAUUUUUCUUGCCGUCGUCCCAGAGAUGCCUUUGGAAAAGCGGAAGGGCACGGAGGGUUCUGGAGUUCGUUGCUGGCACCUGCGUGGUGUCAUGAGAACGUGGCGGGGCGAUUCACACUACAAGGAAUACUAAAGGACGUUCUCCACAUUGAAGGAAAAUGAUCUAAAGAGAAACAGAUCUGUAAGAAGAAAUGAAGAGCACUGGUAAAGGGCAGCAGCACAUAAAUCAUACAUCAGUCAUCCAGUGAUACAAAGAGGUGGCCAAUUGUGUCUGAAGUAGUCACUUGUAAAGGAUCACAACCCAGGCAGUGUUGCUUUUCUGCAAACAGAAGGAAACAGAAGGCUCCAUGGUCCUUGAAGAUUAUCCAAGUUUUCCACUAGUUGUCAAGAUUUCUGUCCCAACCUCUUAGUCACCAUUUACAGCAAGAAGAGCCAGCAAGUGAAAAACUGUUAAUUUAUUGAUUCAAAGUUGUUUUUUUUCUUUUUAAAAAACAAUCCCCAAUACAUGCAGUUCAGGGUUAAGUAUCACAUUUGUAGCACAUUGUUGAGUCUCAAAACAAAAAUAUGCAUCACCUGUAUAAUCCCAUCACAUCUUUUUCCAGCCUCUACAAUACCUAGUUGGGGGUGUUUUCAUUUAUACAUCCACAUAGCUCAGAAGCAUGUUAUUAACGGUUGAUCUGGCCCGAUGCUUCUCCGCCACCUCCCCUGCCCUGGUCUCCACCUCGGGGUUAUUUUUUUCUAAAGGCAGGAUGUUACUCAGUCUUAAUUUAUUAAGAUCACUGACAAACUUUGGCUUCUUGUGUGCUCAUGUGGUCCCUGCUUUUGCUUUCGGAAGGGUUUAUAUUGAAACGACUGUGACUCUGAUCGGUUAUUAUCCCCUCAUUUUUUGUAGGAAAUAAGUUUGCUUGUUUCUGUGGGUGCUCACACAGUAACACAGGUUCCUAAAGUAACCAUUUAAUCUGAACUGGUAUUAAAGGAAACUGUUAACCAGGCUCUCUUAGAUCUAUUUCAGUUCAUAUAAAAAAACUCUUCCAAUUGUUGCUUGUGUCUCAAAGUAGUUCUGCUUCCAUCCUUAUCAACAGAGCACCUGGGAGAACCUAAGUCAUUUCCCUGAGUAGGCACAGACCACGAGCCCCGCGGCACCCAGCUCUCUCUGGGACUAAGCGCCUGACUCGAGAGCACCACCUUUCAGUCCACUGGGACCAAUCCAGUGGGCAGCGCCCUCCCCAGGGUACAUUCCAGAACAUAAACUUGGUACCCUCUAAUUUAUCCCCUCAAGAAGUUAAUUUCCUCCUCAAGAGCUACCUUUAGAUGGAUUUUCUUAUUGGUCCCUUUUCUUUUAACAGCCCUUCCCCUAGCCACUCUCUUCAAGUCCCCAAGGAUUACGAGUUUGUCUGUCUCCUCUAAUCUAUCAGUCUGAGAGCACCUUCCUCUCUGCAAGGGAACACAUUUGCUUUAAACCUUGUGAGUGCUGACAUGUUACAGAAUGUCUGGGAGGAGGCCUGGCUGAGUGACUGGUGUUUAAGUGCCUCAAUGAACGACAUCAGCGCUUCUCUAGUUGGUGAGAAGGCCCAGGAAAGCUUGGUCUGCGUCAUACACUCAAUAGCUUCUCCUACCCAGCCACCUACCCUGCCUACAGGGAUAGGAUGAAAGCAAGGCCAGCUGACAGCAUCCAGGGGAGAGUGAACUGCCACCACACCAGAGGUGCAAAUGUGACUCAGCACUUCAUGAGUUCUACUCUCACCAUGGGAUUUCUCAGCAGAAGCAAACCUUGCAGUCAGGCUCACUUGUAGCCAACAAAUGAUAUAGCCAUCUGGAUUUGGCAUAGGAACCUUUUGUUCUCACCAUACCAGGUCUAUGUUCUUGAACAUAGGCAGUACCUGAGAUGAUAGUAUAACACUACCCUGUUCCCCACAUUUUUUGCUUUUCUUUAGGAAAUAAUUAAGUCCUUAUCAUAGGCACUUUUAACCUGUUUAAGAUAAUGAAGCAAACAAAUGAAAAGUACUGAGAUGAGUUUAAGAAAGAAUAUGCUAACUGAAAAGGAUACUGGGUGCGUACAUUUACCAUGGUUUAGUCUAAAUAUUAGACACACAGACACACACACAGACACACACACAGACACACACACAGACACACACACAGACACACACACACCCCUUUUGGAACUCUCCAAGACCAUCUCCGAAUCUAGGUAAAUAGUCUUAAAAUUUCGGGGGAGCUAGGUUUGGAAACAAAAAUGGUUUUUGGAGACAGGAAAAGAGAUGGUCUGAAACUGGACUCACUUCAGUUUGGAAAGGAAUAGCCUAGGUGCCAAGACCAGACCCAGGAAGGGGUGAGCAUUUCAAGCCCAGUUAUGGUCUAAGUCUAAGGCAUGAAGAGAGGUAAAAGUCUAGGUGCUGGAAAAGCAAGCUGUGUGCUUCAAAGGAAGAAUGCCUGUGUCAAAGCUGCAGUUACAAAACCCCAGGACAAGGCAGGCAGGCGGUGUCUGCACCUACAUCACCGUCAGAGAGACAGGCAGAGGUCAAUCACCUGACUAUUCUCCUCCAGGUACUUUUAUUACCUUUGGGGGACCCAAGGGAAAGGAAUGGAGUUACCGCUUCACCAAGACCCUCCAGUAGGCACCUCUUGCCUGGUCCAGACAGGCAACUUAAAAAAAAAAAGGGAGGGCUGAGGAGUGGGGUGGGGUGAUAAAGGAGAUUGGAGGGGGAGCAGGAAAGACACGCAGUGGCACAUCUCCCUGAUGAUAACCAAUGCUUCAGGAUUGCCUAUAAGGGCAUAUUAGAAGGCUUUUGAUAAUCUCAAACACUGAGUUUUGCUGCCUGACAUAUCAAUACAGGUUUAGCCAAAGAGCUCACAUCUUGCUUUUGAUUUUCAGGUAGAACAAAUGUUUACAUUAGUAUACAGAAUGUGCAAUGCAAGCAGGCAGCAUUGGUAUGAGAACCUUAACUGAAUGCAUUCCUUGGCUUUGGGAUCUUAUUUAUUUUUUACUCUAUAAACUCAACUCUAUAAUAAGAGAAGAGUUUCAUUUGUAUUUUAAGUUCCCACAGACCAAACGACAAAAAUAGAAUCUACAUUUAGAGUAGGAUCUGCUACCAAUACCAAUAAGAUUUUAUUGGAAUAUGGAAUGUAAACAAAUGUUUCAAACAAACAUCUAACCUUAUAAAAAUGUAUGGCAUUAUUAAAUAGUUAAUAAAGAAAUCUUAAAGGGUGAUGUGGUAGACACCUCUAGUUCUAGCCUAGGUGUGUGAAGUCCCCACAGCUGUGGCAUGGCCCUGCAGCUGGGGUGAGGGGACUGCCUACAAACCAUGUUGCUCCUGAGUCCCCAAAAUGAAAUCAGCCCUAUUUUUGUUUAAACAAACUCUAGCUUUCUCUGCUAACAUGAAGGUUUGCAAAAUGGAUCCAACACUUGCUCCGGGAGCACCAUUUUCUUCCCCAAGCCCCUUGUAUAUUCCUCUGAGUUGCUUGAGUUUCAGAUGACCCUGCCCACACAACUCUAGUACCUGCAUGCAAGACAGACUUAUCUUUGCCAUCACAUAAAUGUAUCACAUAUCAGAACUUACAAAUGCAUAUUACCCUGAUUACAGUGGGAAACUGUGUCUCAUGGGGAUAAAAGGAGGUGGGAGAGAGAUAUUUUUUUCCAUAAGUCUUUCCUGAAAAAAUUCUAAUGGGAUGUUUUCCUCCCUCGCCUUGCCUGAAGACUGACUUUCCAGCUUUAGUUAUGGUUGUGAACAAAAAGGUCUCUGUUUCAGAGAGGUGCAUUAAAAUAGGCGCACACAUAGGGAUGUGCUGGGAAAUGGUGAAGUUCUCCUUACAAGGCUGCCAAAAAAAAAAAAAAAAAAAAAAAAGAAAAAGCAACAAAAAA
rnacentral:lncRNA from 1 species